UGGGGAAUUUUGGACAAUGGGCGAAAGCCUGAUCCAGCAAUGCCGCGUGUGUGAAGAAGGCCUUCGGGUUGUAAAGCACUUUUUGUCCGGGAAAGAAAUCCUUGGCUCUAAUACAGUCGGGGGAUGCGGUACCGGAAGAAUAAGCACCGGCUAACUACGUGCCAGCAGCCGCGGUAAUACGUAGGGUGCAAGCGUUAAUCGGAAUUACUGGGCGUAAGCGUGCGCAGGCGGUUGCUAAGACCGAUGUGAAAUCCCCGGGCUCAACCUGGGAACUGCAUGGUGACUGGCAGGCUAGAGUAUGGCAGAGGGGGUAGAAUUCCACGUGUAGCAGUGAAAUGCGUAGAGAUGUGGAGAAUACCGAUGGCGAAGGCAGCCCCCUGGGCCAAUACUGACGCUCAUGCACGAAAGCGUGGGGAGCAAACAGGAUUAGAUACCCUGGUAGUCCACGCCCUAAACGAUGUCAACUAGUUGUUGGGGAUUCAUUUCCUUAGUAACGUAGCUAACGCGUGAAGUUGACCGCCUGGGGAGUACGUCGC
rnacentral:rRNA from 1 species